rnacentral:rRNA from 1 species
UACAUGGGGUGCAAACGUUGCUCGGAAUCAUUGGGCGUAAAGCGCGCGUAGGCGGUUACUUAAGUUGGAUGUGAAAGCCCUCGGCUUAACCGAGGAAGUGCAUCCAAAACUGAGUAGCUAGAGUACGAAAGAGGGUCGCGGAAUUCCCGGUGUAGCGGUGAAAUGCGUAGAUAUCAAGAGGAACACCUGAGGUGAAGACGGGUUGCUGGGCCGACACUGACGCUGAUGCGCGAAAGCCAGGGGAGCAAACGGG